CGCCCUGACUCUAAGGCGGGUGCGCGGAGGGCCCUCCAGGAGAGACGUGGGCCUUUGGCGCCCCGCGCGGUCGGGAGGAGCGAGCAGGGCGGCAGCGCGCAGCUGCCUCCGGCAGACGGAGCCGGAGCCGGAGAGGCCUCCUGAGGCCCUGCUGCUUCCAGGUCCCUGGUUGGUCACGGAAGCCAACCCCGCAGGAGGAACAAGUUCUGCGCUACCUGAGAACAAGUCUGAUCCCUCCCCAUGUCCACCCUUCCUCUGGGAGUGGCAGAGAUACCAGAAAAGGGACUGUAACCUGGGCUAUGUUCCUUGGAGAAAGCUGGAGAGCUGGGGCUGGAGACCAGGGCUUAGCUGCACAUCCGGUAAAUCAGGCCUCAGGAGCACUAUCCAGGAGCCUGGGGUAGAGAGGUCUAAUCCACAGGGCCUGCUGUCAAAGCCCCGCUUCUUUCUGCAUCAAGUUCUCCCAGGACUUGAAAAGAACUGAUCACGCUGAAUUAUACAUCGCUUUAGAGCUCCAUGAGGCCUGCCAGGUCUGCCUUGCUCACAUCUGUAUUUCUAAUAUGGAGUAGAAGCUAUUGGUUGGAUGGUUGAAUAAACUGCACCCAGCCUGUCUGCUUCUUAGCUCAUUGGAUACUCUCAGCUGUGGGACUAUAGUGUUUGUAGGUAGGGCAUAGAAGCUGGCCAACAAUGACCUCGAUGCCUAACAGAAUUUCAAGCAGAAAUUUUUGGGACAAGUAAACCAGAGGCUUGGUAUGUGGCCUGUCUGGAAAGAAUGAGAUGAGAAAGGAGUAUAUGUGUGUGGAGGGGAGGAAGGAAACUUAGUAAUAUCUUUUUAGGCAAAGAAUGGGUGAUACCAUCUUGACCAGAAACUGAGAAUUGGAGACCAGAGGUCAGAAAAUCCAAAAGGAUGAAAGAAGAAUUUCUUAGAGGAACUAACUCUACAAUAGAACCAUGGAGCUACCAGAGCCCUUUGUUCUGAGCAUGAAGUCUGAGAGGGUAUGCAGAAUGAGUGGAGGUCAAUAAAUGUCUGUCAUUUGGAUGCCAUCCUCUCCAUGACCUUGGAAAGCUUCUUUCUCCUAACAAAGCCAUGGCUGAUCUUGGGUAAGGCAAA